GGGACAUGUAUUAGUGUUAGAGAUUUUCAAAAUGAUUUUAUUCUAAAUUUAAACUUAAAACAUACAAUGUAGUUGUGUUUUUUUCUUACCAAAAGUUGAAUAAAAAGGUCUUGUAUUAAGAUUGGUACAAUUAACUUAAGCAACAUUUUGUGAGGUUUGAUCAAAAAGUUAGAUUAUUAGGUAAAGUGACGUGCUAGUGAAAACAAUCGAUUGUAAAGCUUUAGCAUGACAGGCAAAAAGUUAUGUAUAUUGUCGCAAAAUUGAUCUUUG
rnacentral:lncRNA from 1 species